UGCCAGGGCCAGUCGCGUUUCCACUGUCACUUCCGGGAGUAACCCCAGAGUGCAGUCUGGACGAUGGGGCGGGGCGACACUUCGAGGCGGAGCGACACGUGUCGCCCCGCCCAUAUUUGUUUUCCCCGCCUUUGACAUUUUGCUCCGAGCCAGCAGGGGGCAGUUUGCGUUGAAACAAACAGAACGGUGGCAACUACAGCAGCAGAGUAAUAACGCUAUUCCGUUGAUUGCUUGAGGAUGACAUGAUCAGGAGGUGGUGGUGUUCUGUUCUCCUGGACAGCUUUACUCCGCAAAUAGCUCAACCACUGAGGGGAAGAACUUCACCAUUCACCAUGUCUUCAGGCAGAGUCCAGCAAAGCAGGUUAUUUGUGCACAUACAUACAUUAAGAACUAAUAAUUACAUAUGUGUGUACAUGCAGAGGUAUUUUAGUUGUUCAGAUGUGAAAUUGGUAUUAUGUACAAGUACUAUAUUGGUCAGCACUGUGGAUUAGCACUGUGGAUUAUUUAAUAUAUAGCUAUCAGUUAACAUCAGCAUCAAAGACAUUUAAAAACAUUUCAGCUUAAUUCAUUUUCAGUGAGUUUUUUAAAUAACUUCUGUUUGCGAUCUAAUGUGGAUUUUGUUCACCAUAUAAGACAGAAAUAUUUAUAUUCAAUGUAAAAGAUCUUCAUGUGGAUCACGCAUACAAAUAUAUACAAAUAUCUCACUGGAUUAUUACAAUUAAUGGCAAAAUGAAUGUGUGGAAAUGUAAACUAAUAUAUCCUACUGACACACAACAGCAAAAUAUAUAAAUAAUUGUCUUUUUUUUUCAAUGUGAAAAUACUAACAUGCCUAAUACUUCUGCACAGUACUGUAUAUAUUAACAUUUUAUUAGUGUUAUUAUAAAAGAAUGAGUAUGCAGUUGUGACAACAAUCUAUAGAGUUUUUAAUGAGAGUUUUAAAGCAAGGUUGUCUGUAUUCAGGGUUUAUAUAAUGUUUAAUAACUUUUAUAUACAUGUAUAAAUAAACCUAUGUAUGUUUUUGAUUCAACAGCUUCCACUGGAAAUCCUCAGUGAAGGUAUUUUGUUGGCGGGUGACUCUGCAUAUUUGACACUUUCUCUGGUUUGCAGAUGGUUUAGGGAUGUGCGCCGAAGUUUUUCGGAAAGCGGCACAGUUUGCCUGGCUAGACAGUAAGAUUUCCCCGUUUAAU